GACGAACGCUGGCGGCGUGCUUAACACAUGCAAGUCGAACGGUGAAGCGCCUUCCUUUUUGGUGGGUGUGGAUGAGUGGCGAACGGGUGAGUAACACGUGAGUAACCUGCCCCCUUCUUCUGGAUAACCGCAUGAAAGUGUGGCUAAUACGGGAUAUUCUGGGUCUGUCGCAUGAUGGGUCUGGGAAAGAUAUUGUUUCGGUGGGGGAUGGGCUCGCGGCCUAUCAGCUUGUUGGUGGGGUGAUGGCCUACCAAGGCGGUGACGGGUAGCCGGCCUGAGAGGGUGGACGGUCACACUGGGACUGAGACACGGCUCAGACUCCUACGCGAGGCAGCAGUGGGGAAUAUUGCACAGUGGGCGCAAGCCUGAUGCAGCGACGCCGCGUGAGGGAUGGAGGCCUGCGGGUUGUGAACCUCUUUCGCCAGUGAAGCAGGCCUGCCUCGUUUGUGGGUGGGUUGACGGUAGCUGGAUAAGAAGCGCCGGCUAACUACGUG
rnacentral:rRNA from 1 species